rnacentral:rRNA from 1 species
CCUACGGGAGGCAGCAGUGGGGAAUUUUGGACAAUGGGCGAAAGCCUGAUCCAGCCAUGCCGCGUGCGGGAAGAAGGCCUUCGGGUUGUAAACCGCUUUUGUCAGGGAAGAAAUCCUUUGAGUUAAUACCUCGGGGGGAUGACGGUACCUGAAGAAUAAGCACCGGCUAACUACGUGCCAGCAGCCGCGGUAAUACGUAGGGUGCGAGCGUUAAUCGGAAUUACUGGGCGUAAAGCGUGCGCAGGCGGUUAUGCAAGACAGAUGUGAAAUCCCCGGGCUCAACCUGGGAACUGCAUUUGUGACUGCAUAGCUAGAGUACGGUAGAGGGGGAUGGAAUUCCGCGUGUAGCAGUGAAAUGCGUAGAUAUGCGGAGGAACACCGAUGGCGAAGGCAAUCCCCUGGACCUGUACUGACGCUCAUGCACGAAAGCGUGGGGAGCAAACAGGAUUAGAUACCCGUGGUAGUCCACGCCCUAAACGAUGUCACUGGUUGUUGGACGGCUUGCUGUUCAGUAACGAGCUAACGCGUGAAGUUGCCGCCGUGGGGAGUACGGCCGCGAAGGUUGAACUCGAAAUGAAUUGACGGCGNGAGAGAGACGACGACGACGACGAGGGAGGAGG